UAUUAUUAGCCUUUUACAAUAGUUCUCUUUUAAUAAUUUAUUAAUAAUUAAUAAAUUAAUUAAUAAUAAUUAAUAAUUUAUUAAUAAUUGUUUCUAAAGUACAGAAUUUUUACUUAAAACAGUUUUAUUAUUUGUAUAGAUUUAGGAUAUACAGACAGUUUUCAUGAAAUUAUCUGAAUGGUUGCCAAACAAAAGUUUCAUAAUUUAGACACUUUCUGGAAUUUUAUGUUAUAAUUUCUGAGUGGGCAAUUUAUCACAGUGGUGCAUCCGAAUCAAAGCAAAUUUUAAAUCAUAAAAACAAAAAUGCAAUUUGGGGUAAUUUUGUAAAAUCGAUGCCUUUCAGUAAAAAUUAAAUAAAAUACUUAAAAUGGUAUUCUUGACAGUCUCUGAUUCUGUUAAAUAAAUAAAUAAAUAUAUAGACAUACACACACGUGUAUGUAGGGUUAGAUAAAUUGAAAAUAGUACUUUAAAUGCAUUGAAUCUUCAGUUCGGUUUGCUUUGAAAAUUUGUGAAUUGUUGGUAGGUUUGGUCAGCAGCAUAAAUUAAUGUAGCUUAACUUAUUUAGCAAACUUUUCUUUUUUGCCAAAAUCAGAAAUUAUUAAUGAAAACCAAAAAUCACCAAAACCAAAAGAUACUAAGAAACGUUCAGUAACUCACCUUCGCAAUGACAUGCAAAUGUCUUGAUUAAAGUACACAACAGGGCAAAAUCAUAUCCUUCUGUGAACAGUUAUCAGGUACGGAAAUAAUAUAAUUAUAGCUUUGCCAGUUGACAGAAUAAUAAAUAGGAAAUAAUAAAUGCAUGUUCAGAUUUUUUUUUUUUUUUGCAUUUUUGUAUUCACCCCUCUGCUAGAUGAUAAUUGCUGAGUGGAGUUGCUGAUGGAUCAUUCUUGUAUGAUUGAAGUAGAUAUUGAAGACAGUUGUGCAGAAUACUGAGUGCCAUAAUCAUUGUUCAUAUUUUUAAUGUAAGUAACUUGUCUGGCACCAUUGGUGUUGUAUAAUUUUACUUCAGGAUUUUUGCCUACUCAUAGUUGGUACACUACAAAUGCCAGCUGGGUGAAUCAUGUACAAGUGUAAUGGUUAAGAGACAAGAUUUCAUGAUUUUAUUCUCAGGCCAAUUUCAUUUUUAAAACAAGAGAUUUAGAUGUUAUUGUUUUUAUUCUGUUUAUUCAUUAAGUUAGCACCAUUUUCAACAUAUUGUCGCGGGUUGAAAUUUUGCAGGGUUGUUGAAAUCAAAUUUAGGGACUUUACUGACGGGACUCUGGGCUGGCUGCUCUGUUCACUCGUCAGCGCAAGUGGCGUGACCAUGUAAUUGGGGCACGGGGCCGGCGCGGCGCGCUGCGGGCUUGCAGAAUUUUGUUUGUUUGUUUGGCCGCGCGCUGGCGCAGCCACGGGCCGCAGUUACUGGGGCGCGCUGUCGUAACAAGCCGCGCGGUGUGGCCUGCACAUCGGGGUAGAGGGGGGGUAGUCUUCCCAGAUGUUCUAGUUAGUAGUUUAGUAAAUUUGACUUCAAUAACGAGCUUUUGUUAUGGUAGGCGCGGCAGGGUGCGCGAAUUUAAGCGCAAGUGAGUGGUGACUCGGGGCUCACUCAGGCGGAGGCUAUGCGUCUCACCUGUGGUCACGAGUUGUUAGUUCGUUCGUGAUGUAGGAAUUCAAGCUUUCGGGCGGAAGCUAUGGUCGACGCCAGAGGCCACGAGUCGUUUAAUUUAAGUUAGGUCAUAAUGUAGUCGUCAAGCUUUCGGGCGGAGGCUAUGGCCCUCGUCAGGGGUCACGCGUCAUAGUUUUUAAAAUGUAAUGUUCGUUCGGGAUUUCAAGGGCAGGAGAGGCCCCUACGUUAUUUUUUUAAAGUAAUCGAUCAAGAAAGGCUUUUCGGAAAAUGUGAGUAUGGACUUAUCUUUGUUUUAAUUUUAAGUAUUAAUUAUGAUUUGAGGUAUUCGGAAGGACUAGGGAAGUGUUUAGUGAAGUUCUCUCAUUCUCUCUCUUGUAAGGUCGUUCAAUCGUUAAGGAAGUAAAGAGAUUAUUGUUUUAAAUUGUAAUCCCGCUAUUUAAAUGUUCUUUAAAAUGAUGUUGAGUAUUUGACUUUAAGAAUAAAAUAAUUUUAAUUAAGUAUUAUGUUAUUUUGCAAAAUCUCCUUAGUUCAGCUCUCACCAGACAUCCUGUACGGGAUGACGAACCUAUGAUCCUAGGUACAGUAAAGUAUUUUAUGAAGUUAAGACUAGUUGAUGCCAAGCGAGUUGUUUCUAUGUCAAGAGCUACGAUUCUCGCCCCCCCCCUCUGAAGGUGGAUCGUGACAGAAAUGGCGGUGGCACCGGCUAGGUGUCACGUGACAGAAAUGGUGGAGGCGCCGGGUAGGUUCUAUUUCUGGAGAGAGAGAGAGGUAGAUUUUUAUGUUUAUUAUUAAGUUAGUUUCAGCUUCUGAUAGCAGGUUAUUAAGAGUUUACUUGAGGAGAGGAUUACGGAAUUUUAGUCUAUAGUGGAGGAAGUCUUUGAGAUUUUUUUUUUGACGUAACAGAUGUUUAUUUGAGGAUACUUGUAAGGAUAAAGUUUAUAGUGAUAAGUUGUUUUAAGUCGUUGAAUUUAUUGUAGAUUUAUAUCGGGGAUUAUUACGUGAGGAGAAUACGUUAUAAGUUAAAUGCUUAUUAGAGAUAAUGCAAGUGGUUUAAUUUAAUUGAAGUUCAUUUUAAGAUUGUAGGUUAAGAGAAUUAUAAUUUAAAAUAAAGUUUUUUGUCGUAAAUAGGAAUUAUUUUCAAGAGAAGUUUGUUUUGUUUUCGUGCGCGUAGGAGACGAGACGUACGAAUUAAAUCAGUCGAGGGAAGGAUAAACGUUAGAAAGGAAUUAAAGAGAAAACGAGAGUUUAUGUAAAAGAGAGUUAUAGAAUUUAUAGUGAUGUUUUGUUUUAAUUAGAAAAAUGUUGAGAGUUGUUUCAGAACGACACGUCAGUGGACGUGGCAGAAUGAACACGAGACGGGGAGGUGCUGAGACCUAGCGGAGAACGGAGGAACCGCAAGCGAGGGUUGGCGCACCUGAUGGAAUUCGGUGACGUCACGGGCUCAUACGGAGACGUGGACAGGCCGUGACCUUGUUUUGAUCAGCUGUACGGUAACUUAGCGAUAAGAAAAUAGACUAUUGGUUAAAUAAAUUUAAAUUUAAGUGUGUUUUAGGAGAAGAGGAACUUUCAGUAUAUUCCUUAAGAUGAGCUGAGCAGCAGUCCAGUUUACAAGAUGACAAGAGUUCGAGAGACAAGAUACAAGAUCACUGAAACAAGAGCCAAGACUGAAGAUUCAAGAGAAGAGAAAGCUGGCAGCCAUGGACUUACAAGUGGAGAUUAAUAAGGUCAUGUAAAGUUUUAUUUUUUUUAUGGAAGACAGUAACUGGAGUUUUUUUUUUGUUAUAAACAUUAUUUACAGAACUUUUUAGGUUAUAGUAAUGUAAUGGAACUAGUGAGUUGUGGUAGCUGUCAAAAAGAACUAAUACCUUAAGUUUAAUUUUUAAAGUUAAUUUUCUUAAUUUACAGAGGGAUUAGUAGUUUUUUUUAAACCUUAUUUAGGUUGGAAUUUAAAUACAAUAGCUUAUUAUAAAUGUGUACGAACAGUUCAAGUUCACAGUACUGAUAGGUAGGUCAGAUGAUCUUAUUGAUUUUGAUGAUUUGUUGUUUUGAGUUGAUUUUUAGGUGUUGUGAAUUAGACAAUGAAAUAGUUCUGAAAACUUAAAUUAUUUCAAGCUAAGAAAUAGUAAAGUUAAUUGUAACUCAAAGGACACCAGAAUUUAAUUUUUUUUUUGAAUUAGUAAUGUUUGAAAAUUUUAUACUUUACAAGAAAGGUUAUAAACAAACAGAUCGGAUGGAACAAGGAUGCAGUAAAUCACAAUUUCAUUUAGAAUUAUUGAUUAGCUUUUGAGGUUAUGAAGUAAAAGUAAUUAUAAUUUAAAAGUUUGAAUAAAAAAAAAAAAUGUUUUUUUUUAUUUGUUUGAAAUAGAAAGUUUAAAAGUUAAUUAGUCAUGAUCUAGGUGGGUGAUGGGGUGGGAAUUGGCCACUCUUUUUCCCUAUAACCUCCCUAACAUGGCCUUCUAUUACAACUAACAGAAAUAAAGAAGAAGAAAAAUGAAGAAUUAUUAGUUAGAAUGUUUCUUUCAUGAAGAUACCUGAUGAACUUUUACUGUUUGGAAGAAUAGAAGCAAGGUUAGUCAGAUAUUUUUACUCAGAAGAAGAAGAAGAUAAAGCAGUUUUAUGACUCGACAAGCCAGAGAUUGGUGUUUCCCCUCUGCGCUUCUAUUGACUACGUUGUUUACUCUCAUGGGAUAGCUGGUUCGGCACCAUGGAGAGAGAUUGGUGGGCAUUGUGGUUGCCCCCAGAAGAAAAGAAGAGUAGAAGAGGUUAUGGGUGGGUCAUGUGAACUGACCUUCAACCCAGUUACUUCGUGGGGACUAUUUGCUGAAUAGAGAAGAUCAAGACUCAAGAGUUAGGGAAAAUUAUUGGAGGUCAUGUUUCCCUUCCUUAAGUUUUUCCUAUCAAAUUAUUUGCCUGAUUAGAUUAUGCUAAGGGUGGGAUACUUUAUGUUAGCAGUUGAAUUAAUUAAUUUUAUUUUUUUGUGUGUUUGCAUCCUUGCCCAUCGAUUGCAGUUUAGUAGUUAGUUUUGUAUUUGUCAGGCGUGAUGGUAAUGCCUGUUGAUGAUGUUUCAGAAUUGUAAUCUGUUCGUGAUGAGGAUGGCACAACUCCGAAGCAGAUGUGGGGAGAAGUUGUGAGCUGCCCUGGAAGCCAGUCCAGUAGCUGUUGGAGUUGAGUGGUGUUUGCUGAUGGCCAGCCCAGGGAGCUACUCUUCUCGACAACACUGACUUCGAGGAGUUGCACCAACCUUCACGAGAUAAGAGUUUAAUUAAUUGAAACACUGUAAGGACACUUAAUUUUUUUUGAAGAACGAAAGAAGUAUGGUAAUAAACGGAAACCGAAAAAAAAAAAAA